rnacentral:lncRNA from 1 species
AUAUGUAUCGACAAGAACUUAAGACUUUUGACCGUUGAUCUCUUUCUCAGGGUGUGCAAAGGUCCACAGAAAAUCACAUUUGCUGCCUAUAAAAAAGCACAAAGAAGAAACUUGCAGCUUUUACAGAAGCUAUGGCUGGAGUACUGGUUGUUUCGUAGAGCAACGCCAGUCCUGUCUCCUGUAGCCCUGUGCAGCGUAUGGGCUUGCAUGUUCCUUCUUUAAAAAAGAAAAAAGAAGCCA